UACGGAGGGUGCAAGCGUUAUCCGGAUUCACUGGGUUUAAAGGGCGCGUAGGUGGGUUGGUAAGUCUGUGGUGAAAUCCCCGAGCUUAACUUGGGAACUGCCAAGGAUACUAUCAAUCUUGAAUACCGUGGAGGUCAGCGGAAUAUGUCAUGUAGCGGUGAAAUGCAUAGAUAUGACAUAGAACACCCAUUGCGAAGGCAGCUGACUACGCGGAGAUUGACGCUGAGGCACGAAAGCGUGGGGAUCAAACAGG
rnacentral:rRNA from 1 species